UAGCACCAUGUCAUUCCACACUUUCCUCGUACAACUACUGUCUUUCAUAUUAAUUAUUAUUAUUAAUUAUUGUGAAUCAUAUUCAAUUAUUUUCCUGGAUCCUAAACCGGGUGUCAAACCAGAACCUCCCCCUCUCAUACCAAAAUUUACUCUACUAGAAUAUGGGUUCCAUAUCAGGCACUGCGUGGACCCGGACGCUAUCCCUAAAAACACAUCGGAUUGGAACAAAUUGUUUCGAUCUCGAUUAUUUCGCUACAAUGCAGACAUUGCGGAUGUAGCUGGCAAAAAAUUUAAAUCACCGAAACCAAGAAAAUGUCACACCUUCAUUGUUGCAACGGCUGACGAAAUCAACUGGGCGUUUCUCAACUCUAAUGUUAAGAUCAAGGAAAUGGAGGGGACAUACGAAAGCAGGAAGCCGUUUGAAUUGUUUCAUUUAACUUUGAAGGAAGAUGGCAAAUAUUCGGUUGCAAACUUGCGUCCGCAUUAUGUGCAAUGUACGCUUGAUGAAAAUUGGAAUCCCGUGCAUUAUGUUGGUGCGAUCCCCACACCGCGUAAUCCAUGUCUGUCUUUGUUAUUAGAAUGUAUUCGGAAUUUACGUUAUCUAUACCGAAUAUAGUUAUGCUAUGGUUUUUUGGCUCUGAAUUUCUUUUGGGCAAAGGGCUAUGGGACUCAUAAUUUUUUAGCCUGGCGUUCUAAGUAGUUUACAGUCGAGCAUAUUCAAUGGAUAUGAAAGGAGGGAAGAGGUCCACCGUCGUUAAAUAAACCCCUCUUUGAUGAUUAUUCAUUGACGCUCCCGACGGUACAGAACUUUUAUAGUUCGUUACAGACCUAAUUCUAUUUAGUGCAAUUAUAAUAUAUACUCGAUUAACAAUUAAUAAUAUUAUAGAAAAAUCAUGAUUUCUACAAUUAUGCAAUUUUUUUCUCUAAAAUAACAAUAAAUGUUUUAUAUGUAUAUCGGAAAAAUUGGGAUGACAGAUUUUUGUAAUUAAUCAAACAAGCACAUCAAGACAAAAUUCGUAUAAAAUCUCCUUGUUUAGUAUUUGCUAAAUAAAUAUAUUGUCUUAUAAACAUUGCCUGUACAAAACCAUUAUGGUGGUCAGCAACCAAGUCGUCUAUUUUGACAUUAUUUUUCAUAAUUUGUUCACAACAGGACACAACACAACUUCCGAGCAGAUUACUUAUAGAAUCUGCUACUAAAGAAACACUAAUUGAUUAACAAGGUAAUAUAAUAAUUAUUAAAUUUGUACAUGCAUAUGCAAGCAAUCAUGUCUCAUUUUGCAUGAGAAAAAUGCCACAAAAAGGAAACGACAAUAAAGUGACGAGGCAACAGCUGCAGCUGAGAAGACAAAUGCCGUUCACUUUAAUUCUCCAAUAAAAAUAAAAUUAUCAAUCUAAUCAAUUUAAAGAAUUGGUUAUUAUAAAUCAUCUUCUGCGGUAUCAUUACAACGACAUUAAUUAAUUGACUAUGUAUAAUCAAUUUAGUAAGUUAUAUCAAUUUCCAAAGUAAUUUAUAUGGUUAGACUAUACGAAAGGGGACCCCCAAGAAACUUUGAAAAAUUUUUUUCUUCUAAAAAGUCUAUUUUCGUGACCUACGACCCAUGUAAAUGCAAAUCUGCAAUACAAUUUUUUUCGUCCGUUUUGAGAAAAGCUUUCCAAAAAUUAAUUUUUUUUAAUAAAGUUGUUUUUUCAACUGGUUUUUUCAACAAAUUUUAUUGCAGAUAUAUCCAUAAAUCAAAAAUUCGCUAAAUAAAUAAUUCAAUUUACAAAUAUUUAUUAUGUUACUGAUCUUGCUGUAGCUUUAUCGCCCUGAAUUGAUGGAUCCAACUGUUAUACGGAUAUGACAUAGAAUCGUGUCGCAGUUCGUUGGAAAAAUAUGUUCUUUUGUAUGUUUGUUUUGUUGACGUUGUUGACAACAAAUUGAUGCCUUGCUAGAAUAUGCGUAUCAGCCCAGCAUUAAACACAAUUUCCAGUCCGUUCCAGCUGUUACCUUGUUAGUUCCCUAACAAAGAAGCUGAUUAUUCGCAAGCUGUGCUAAUUUACGUAUUAGUAUAUAAAAUGACAAGUGUUUUGGUCCAAGGCAAAUCAAAACUGGAAUAAGCCACAUUAAUAUGUACCCCAUACCGAGCUAGCUUCAGAUUUCCAGAACACCGCAAAAACUAAUAAUUUAGUAUGGUGUCAAAACUGAAUUUUGUCGCAUUGCCUCUCUUCAUUGGAAUCAUAAUAAUGAUUUCAAUAAACACGGUGUCCGCCCAGUGUGGGAUCCACACUCCCCGUACAUACGAAUUGGAGUUCCGCUACCUUCAAAUAUUGGCCCAAGUAGUUGUAGCAUUUCCUGCACCUUAAUUCAUAAUAAAAUUUGUGGAUUUUCACUCCUGUACAUCCUUCACUGUUUGAGAUUAGCUCGUGAAUGUGGAGAGAAAAUUCACGCUGCUGGACAAGAGUGUCCUCGAAGUGGACAUGUUUAGCACCUGGAAUUCAUUCAUAAUUAGUUCAUAGAAAAAUUUUUUAGUUAAAACUACAAGAUUUUAAGGAUUAUUUAUAAUAAUCAGUGUUUUCCGUAAAAAACCACCUGCAAGAAAUCGCACCUUUUGCACUUGGCAUUGCAAAGUUUGCAAGGCAGUUCAACUAACUAGGACUGCAACCAACACGGAGGAUUUUGUAACAUGGUCACCGGUAACGCUAACAUCCUCCAGCUCCCACUUUUGGUAGGGUGUCAUCAUUUGUUCUAUCGCUUGGAUAACAAUGUCCUCACCGAGCCAUGCCCUUAGGUCGAAUUUCGUGACUGAUGGAAAUACUCGGACUAUCUUCCGCCCGAUUACAUUGGCACCUACAUUCUGCCAUUCUUCUUCAAGUUCUAACCUGAAAUAUUUGAUUCCACGAUGUCCUUUCCACAAGUUAAGCUUGAUCGCCCUGAAUUGAUGGAUCCAACUGUCAUACGGAUAUGACAUAGAAUCGUGUCGCAGUUCCUUGCAAAAAUAUGUUCUUUUGUAUGUUUGUUUUGUUGACGUUGUUGACAACAAAUUGAUGCCUUGGUUGAAUACAUAUUAAUAUUAUACGUAUUAUAUUGAAUGCGUAUCAGCCCAGCAUUAAAAACAAUUUCCAGUUCGUUCCAGCUGUUACCUUGUUAGUUCCCUAACAAAGAAGCUGAUUAUUCGCAAGCUGUGCUAAUUUACGUAUUAGAAUAUAAAAUGACAAGUGUUUUGGUCCAAGACAAAUCAAAACUGGAAUAAGCCACACUAAUGUGUAUCCUAUACCGAGCUAGCUUCAGAUUUCCAGAACACUACAAACACUAAUAAUUUUACUAUGUUUUCAAAACUGAAUUUUGUCGCAUUGCCUCUCUUCAUUGGAAUCAUACUAAUGAUUUCAAUAAACACGGUGUCCGCCCAAUGUCCGCCCAAUUGUUGUGCCUGGCAUUGUCAGAGACUCCGAAACUGUGCCGGGUUAGGUUUUCUAGUGCCAGGGUUGGACUGCAGACCUCCUCCGGCAGGAUGCUAUUGUUGAUAAUCAUCACUUUCAUUGGAAUAACUUGCAUAGUAAUGUUUCGUGGAAUUAUUGUAAUUCCUAUUUACUCUUGAGAACAUCGAGGUAUGUAGAAUUUCCUAAGAUGACUAAAUCACUUCCAAUCAUAAUUUGUGUGAAUUACGAGUUGCAUGCAACCCAUAAUCUACAAAUUAUAAAAUAUAAAUAUAAAUAUAAAUAUAAAUACCAAACUUACAAAUUAAUAAAUAACUAAUCGAUUUAUUUAGAUAUGUGUUUUUAUAAAAUUCUAUAUUCUGCCAAACACCCAUAGCUGCCUGUAAGGAUUAAAGGAUAAUGUAUAAAUAAACUUGACAGUGGUUAAACAAGA